UUGAACGCUGGCGGCAUGCCUAACACAUGCAAGUCGAACGGCAGCGCGGGGGCAACCCUGGCGGCGAGUGGCGGACGGGUGAGGAAUGCAUCGGAAUCUGCCCUGUUGUGGGGGAUAACCAACCGAAAGGUUGGCUAAUACCGCAUGAGACGGCGACGUGAAAGCGGGGGAUCUUUGGACCUCGCGCGACAGGAUGAGCCGAUGCCGGAUUAGCUAGUUGGUGGGGUAAAGGCCCACCAAGGCGACGAUCCGUAGCUGGUCUGAGAGGAUGAUCAGCCACACUGGAACUGAGACACGGUCCAGACUCCUACGGGAGGCAGCAGUGGGGAAUAUUGGACAAUGGGCGAAAGCCUGAUCCAGCCAUGCCGCGUGUGUGAAGAAGGUCUUCGGAUUGUAAAGCACUUUAAGUUGGGAGGAAGGGCAUUAACCUAAUACGUUAGUGUUUUGACGUUACCGACAGAAUAAGCACCGGCUAACUUCGU
rnacentral:rRNA from 1 species